rnacentral:rRNA from 1 species
GAUGAACGCUGGCGGCGUGCCUAAUACAUGCAAGUCGAGCGAACAGACGAGGAGCUUGCUCCUCUGACGUUAGCGGCGGACGGGUGAGUAACACGUGGAUAACCUACCUAUAAGACUGGGAUAACUUCGGGAAACCGGAGCUAAUACCGGAUAAUAUAUUGAACCGCAUGGUUCAAUAGUGAAAGACGGUUUUGCUGUCACUUAUAGAUGGAUCCGCGCCGCAUUAGCUAGUUGGUAAGGUAACGGCUUACCAAGGCAACGAUGCGUAGCCGACCUGAGAGGGUGAUCGGCCACACUGGAACUGAGACGCGGUCCAGACUCCUACGGGAGGCAGCAGUAGGGAAUCUUCCGCAAUGGGCGAAAGCCUGACGGAGCAACGCCGCGUGAGUGAUGAAGGUCUUCGGAUCGUAAAACUCUGUUAUUAGGGAAGAACAAAUGUGUAAGUAACGAUGCACGUCUUGACGGUACCUAAUCAGAAAGCCACGGCUAACUACGU